UUUUGGCCACCUUCCCGAGCCCGGAUGCUCGGCCCGCUUUGAGGAAAGUUGAUCCUUGCGUCGAGCCCGUUGUUUUGAGUGAGUUUUACUCACUAAUGCCUUCUUAGUGCGCUAAUUAUACUUAAAGGUUGAUUAGUGUUAAUUAAGUGUAAUUAGGUUGUUAGAUUAGAAUUGAUUAGUGAUUAUUAGUUAAUUGGUUUGCAUAUUAGCUGUGUGAUUAGUGUAAUUAGAUAGAGAAUUGCCUAUAGUAUUUAUUGGAUGCUUCUUGGGAUUUUUCCCGUCCCUUAUCGGGUGUUAAUUAAGCGAUUCGGGCCUAGGUGGUAUUUUUAGGAAUUAAAUAUUAAUUUUGAAAUUAAUUAUUUAAUUAUUUAUUUCCCGGAAAUUCAACUGGGAUGGCCAGUGACCAGGAUUUUAUGUUGAUGAUCAUGGCGCAGUCCGUUUAUUUAAUUGAGUUUUAUAUUGUGCUAAAUUGAAUUUAUUGAAUUUAUUUAUUUAAUUUUCGAAAUUAAUUAUUUAAUUAUUUAUUUUCCGGAAAUUCAACCGGGAUGGCCGAUGACCGGAAUUUAUUUAUUUAAUUGAGCCCUAUUUCAUGCUGAAUUGAAUUAUUUGUGAAAGAAGGAAUUAUUCUUUAAUUGAAUAAUCUUUGGUUAUUAAUUGAAAAAGAACUGGGCUUCGGUUGAUAAUGCCAAAAGGAUCUGAGUGGGCUACAGAAAAUUGUGGAAUUUAUAAAAAGGAAAUUAUUAUGUUUUGGCUAAGGCCAAUCGAGUAUCCACUCAUGGCAUUUUAUCGGGAAUGAUAAAACUGGUUAUUUGAUUAUUUGCUUGGAACGGUAUGAUCUACCGGCUCGAUAACUCUACAGAGCAUCUGGAGACAGUACGGUAUGAUAAAUUGUGUGUAUAUCGGCUCGAUGACUCUACGGAGCAUCUGGAGACAGGACGGUAUGAUAAAUUGUGUGUAUACCGGCUCGAUGACUCCACGGAGCAUCUUGAGACAGGACGGUAUGAUCUACCGGCUUGGUGACUCUACAGAUUAUCUUGAGACAGUACGGUAUGAUAUACCGGCUCGAUAAUCCUAUAGAUCAUCUUGAGACAGUACGGUAUGAUAAAGGGUUGAUCAAGAGAUAAUUUGGAUGACAUGUAAUCGACUAGGUCGAUUGAUUGAUGAUUCGAUCUGAGUGUGACUUGAUGUGAUUCAUUACCUUGGGUUGAUGUUGUGAAUUGAAUGAUUGAAUGGAGAUGACCGUGAGUGGUCUUCCUGAUAUGAAAUCGACUAAGUCGAUUAGAUCGAUGUGUGCCUAUUCAAUCUGUGAUGUGAUUGCUUGGGUGCCUAUUUGAUUUGUGCUAAUAUGCAGGUGGAAUCUGAGGCCAAGGUAAGUCUUCUAACUCAUGUUGUGCAUAGGCAGCCCUAAGGUGUAUUAGUUUACUAAUCGGGUCUUAGAGGGUAGAACUUGCUGAGACGUUGUCUCAGUGGUUAUUGAAUAACCAUUUCAGGACCUGGAUGAGGAGCCUAAGGAGCAUGAAUCUGAUGAGGAGAUCCCUGUUGAGGAACCCGAAGAGGAGUACGUGGAGGAGGACCCCGAGUAUGACAUCAAGUACGACCCGGAUGAGGACUAAGAUCCCGUCCUGUCUUGUCAGACCUUGUUUGCAUGUGAAUAGAUGUUAGACCAGAGUUGCGUA
rnacentral:lncRNA from 1 species